GAAACCCACCUGUUGCAUUGGCAAUGGUCCUAGGCAAGGUUUAACUGCCUGAACAGAGGAAAUCUGGAGAGGGUUGCUGUAGAAGUACAAAUUCAGAUAAGCAGAAGCAGCUCAGACUUCGUGACUGGGUGAGGAAGAAUCUCUUCCCAAGGACUUGAGCCCAGAGGGAUUUCUGAACACUACAUUGCCAGCACAGUAGCCUGUAUGCAGCACAGGACUAAACUGAGUCUCUGGAUUUAGAAGGCUGGGAAACGCUUACCGCUCCCUCCACCACCCAGAAACAGCCUUUGGGUGAAGCCCAGCAUCUGAAUUAGCCCUGAAGGAGGAAAGGUUAUCUUCUAACAACAGCAGGAUGGUCUAACCAGCUCUGACUGUCUUCCAGACAUGUUGCUCUGAUCUGGAAUGAUUUUAGGAGCAAGGGAAGCAUCUCGCUCUGAAAUACCUCCGGGUAGUUCAGAAUACAGCAAUCUCCUACACAGUCUCCAUUCUUCAUGGGAUCCCUGUGGGAUAUGAAAUCCAACUCGGGGCUUUGCUGGGAAGCCCAUCCCAGUGGCUGGGAAGCCUGGGAGCUCCAGGUGUGACUCCUUCCUCUGCUAUGGACAUGAUGUGUGGCUGUGGACAAGUUGCUUAAUCUCAAUGUACCUCUGUCCCCAGUAUUUCCCAUGCUCAUAAAGUUGCGGUGAGGAUAGCUGCAUUGAACUCCAGUAGUCGGGGGUAGCUGGAUGCUGCCAUGAUGGGGACCAUGCAAGUAUCUAAAGGCAGAACUGCAGCUCAUUGAGAUAUAUGUGAGCAAUCUUUAAAAUUUUGUUCUUUUAAGAGACAUUUUGGAGCCAGAACUUCGUCACCUUGCAUUUGACUGAAUGCUUCCAGGCCUGUAAAAAUUAAAGCAACAAAGAAAUAAAAUUGACCUACACCCGGUCCAUAUUCUCGGGCUGUAACAUGCAUCUUGUUUUCAUGCCCAUGUCCAUGAUAAAAUGAACAAAUAAAAAAAGGUUUGAGAAGAAGAAAAGAAACAGAAGGUAGCAGAA